UGUUUCUAAAAAAAAAUAAAUUUCUUCCUUGUUUUCUCUGCAGGCUAAAUUUCUUCCUUGUUUUCUCUGCAAGUCUAGGUUCCGGCGAGGUCCCUAGCCGGUCGCCACCAUUCUCAGCCGCCGUAAGCCACCGUACACGGUGGCCGAAAAGGUGCAACUUGUUGGAGUUCAGUGGCUGACAUGGGCGGUGCUGAGGUGACCGGUGGUGCAGGCGGUCAGUGGGUAGUUGGCCAAAAGUCAGGGGGUUCGGCGCUGCAAGCUAGGGGUUAGGGUUUUUGUUUUUUCUGUUUUGGUUUGGUAUUGGGCCACCUGGGUUUGGUUUAAUUUAGGGAUUAGGCUUGGGUUAAAAUGGGUUAGUUGGGCUAAUUGGUAUUGGGUUUGCUGUAUUGAGUCUUGGAUAGUUAAGAUUUUAGGUUUGCUGUAAAUGGGAUUGGGUUUAAGGGCCCGGGCAAUUUGGGAUUCUACAGUAUUCAUAGCCCAAUCUGGGUUUAGGUUGGAUUUAUGGAUGAUGUCAAUAUCAUACAAUCUCACUCAAGUUUGGCUGACUCAAAA